AUGUCACAUGAGUUGUGUACUGCUAUAUUUCGGAGGCUUGCCCAACUGGAUCAGUCUUGCUCCAAGGACACGCCCGGUAACAUCUGGAGGAAGUACAUAGAGCCUGACUUUGCUACAACUGUUUUGUCAAACGCCGAUCCAUUGACUGUUCAAUCUAUCCGCACGGGUUUCCAAGAAGGAACAGGUGUUUGCAACCCGGCUUCGUGCAUAAUGUGGUUUAUCCCAGCUAUACUCCCAGACGGAUGGGCUGUCUACCUGUUUGAUAUGAUGCGGAAACGCAUCAUCGUGUUAGACCCAACAGUUGGACCUUUUGGUUAUAGCAAUCGGCGGGUCAGCAUGCAUGAGUUUGUAAGCAACAAACUUCAUGCUGCCCUGUUUAACUGUCUACAUAAUUUCUUCAGCUCUUGGCAUUGCGACUCCACUAACUGGGGUCGCACAUUUCCUAUCAUAAUGCGGGAAAAAAAUAAACAAAGAUGA
rnacentral:rRNA from 1 species